GGACGAUUAGCUCAGCUGGGAGAGCAUCUGCCUUACAAGCAGGGGGUCAUAGGUUCGAGCCCUAUAUCGUCCA
rnacentral:tRNA from 1 species